rnacentral:rRNA from 1 species
CCCUUAGAUGUCCUGGGCCGCACGCGCGUUACACUGAUGCAUUCAACGAGCUUAUAACCUUGGCCGAGAGGCCUGGGCAAUCUUGUUAACGUGUAUCGUGAUAGGGAUAGAUUAUUGAAAUUAUUAAUCUUGAACGAGGAAUUCCUAGUAAACGCAGAUCAUCAAUCUGCAUUGAUUACGUCCCUGCCCUUUGUACACACCGCCCGUCGCACCUACCGAUUGGAUGAUCCGGUGAAGCCUCGGGAUUGUGGUUCUUGCCGCUUUAUUGUGGCGUGACCGCGAGAACUUGUCUAAACCUUAUCAUCUAGAGGAAGGUGAAGUCGUAAC